rnacentral:rRNA from 1 species
UACAGAGGUCCCAAGCGUUGUUCGGAUUCACUGGGCGUAAAGGGUGCGCAGGGGGGCUGGUAAGUUCGAUGUGAAAGCCCCGGGCUUAACCCGGGAAAGGCAUUGGAUACUACUGGUCUGGAGGAUUGGAGGGGGGACUGGAAUUCUUGGUGUAGCAGUGAAAUGCGUAGAUAUCAAGAGGAACACCAGUGGCGAAGGCGCGUCCCUGGACAAUACCUGACACUGAGGCACGAAAGCCAAGGGAGCAAACAGG